rnacentral:rRNA from 1 species
UACGUAGGGUGCGAGCGUUAAUCGGAAUUACUGGGCGUAAAGUGUGCGCAGGCGGCCGCGCAAGUCGAGUGUGAAAGCCCCGGGCUUAACCUGGGAAUGGCAUUUGGGACUGCAAGGCUUGAGUGCGGCAGAGGAGACUGGAAUUCCUGGUGUAGCAGUGAAAUGCGUAGAUAUCAGGAGGAAUACCGAUGGCGAAGGCAGGUCUCUGGGCUGACACUGACGCUCAUGCACGAAAGCGUGGGGAGCAAACAGG